UCAAAGACACAAUAUUAUGCAAAGAUAUAUUAAAUUGCAAGACAACAUGUUCCAAAUCGAAAGGCAAAUGUUAACAUGCUUAAAUAACUUCAUUAAUCAAAAUUUCAGCAUUUCCUUCUCUUUCAUUGCUCUUCUGAGAUCCAAAUUGAGUGCUGUCUUUCCCAAACUGUCAAUUCUAGAACUGAACAGUCAACUUAGCUAAAGGAAAGUUCUGAUGCUUGUCGCAACAAAAUCACUUAUUUUUCUUCCAUUAGUGAUCCAAAAGAAAAGGAAAUGUGAAAUUUUUGCGUUCAAAUUAUCAAAUGCUCUCCGUUCGGAACAAUUUCUUGGCAAUGAAAGUGGAAAUGUUACUGCCCAACUCUAUUUUCGCUGCUUCCAAAGCCAUUUUAAGUAUCUACUAAGGCAUUAGGGAAGAAAAAAGCAUAUUUUUCCCAUAGAAAAAUAUUUCUAGUGCGAGA
rnacentral:misc_RNA from 1 species